rnacentral:misc_RNA from 1 species
AGCAGCCGCGGUAAUUCCAGCUCCAAUAGCGUAUAUUAAAGUUGCUGCAGUUAAAAAGCUCGUAGUUGAAUUUCGGGACCAUCAUGUCGGUCGUGCCUCGGUACGUACUGGCAUUGUUGGUUUCUACCUUCUGACGAACCAUGAUGUCAUUUAUUUGGUGUCGUGGGAAAUCAGGACUGUUACUUUGAAAAAAUUAGAGUGUUUAAAGCAGGCUCACGCUUGAAUACAUUAGCAUGGAAUAAUGAAAUAGGACGUUUGAUUCUAUUUUGUUGGUUUCUAGGAUCGACGUAAUGAUUAAUAGGGAUAGUUGGGGGCGAUUAGUAUUCAAUUGUCAGAGGUGAAAUUCUUGGAUUUAUUGAAGACUAACUACUGCGAAAGCAUUUGCCAAGGAUGUUUUCAUUAAUCAAGAACGAAAGUUAGGGGAUCGAAGACGAUCAGAUACCGUCGUAGUCUUAACCAUAAACUAUGCCGACUAGGGAUCGGAUGAUGUUAAUUUUUUAAUGACUCAUUCGGCGCCUUA